UGAACUUAUGGGUAAGAGAGAGUUUUCCCAGAAUGCUUUGGGAGACAGUUACUCAACUGACUUUUCAUUCUUUGGAUUGACCCUGUUCUGAAAGGAAGUCCUAAGAGCUUCUCAGUGAGAUCUGGAAAAGUGUUUUCAUAUCUAAAUAUUCAUCUAAAAGGCCUGACAAGUGAAGAAGAUUGUUAGGUGAAACAUUAGUGCAAACCCCAACAGGUUUGCUUGAGUAAAUGUGGGCCACCUGUUGUGAGAUGUCUCAUCUCAAGAAGUAGCCUGGUUAGGAUCACAGGAUGCUGAACUUGGUGUCAGAUGCUAUAAGGCUAGACACUAUUUGCUUGCUACAAAUUCAAGUUGAGAAUCAUUCAAGGGGUAAUGGAGAGGUAAAUGGUGAGUAUUAGUAGGCUGCAACAUAAUACCAAUGAAGAAUUACACAAGAGAAAUGACAGUAAAGGGUAUCAUCAAGUAAAUGCAUGACUAGAAAAAGAAAGUGUACUGGUCAUGUAAAAAGAAAAAGAUCUCAUUCAACCUGUUGGGCAAAUUUUCUUUGAAGGUUCUACAAAUGGAUAUGAAGAGAUAUGCAAGAAGACAAGAGUAUGGAAUGGUUUGUGUUCUAUUAGAUGAAGUAAUCAUGUCAAUGACCAUAUAGUAUUUUUGCAGAGAACUAUCUUUGAAAGUAACUUUUGCAUUAGGAUUUUUGUAAAUCACUAUCAGUCAAAUCAGCUAUUACCUGUUAUUUGUUAUUAACACCAAAAUAAUAUGUUGGGUUCUAAUAAAAAUAACACAAGAAAUUUUAGUUUUAUCCUUUUAUAGUGACUACCUUCUGUCUGUACUGAAAACAUUUAUCAUUCAUGUUGUUUGGAGUAAUGGUCUCCAAAGUGGGGGCAAAGGCAAGAACCCAAGGGGCAUGUGAUCAACCAGAGAGUGGGAGGAUUGAUGAAAUUCUACCCUUCCAUAUGAUAGCCAAUUCUGGGCCUGUCUCCAGGAAAAUCAUGGCUAUCAAUGUUUCCUAAUAUUUCUUCCUUCUCUUGGGGAAGCUUCCAACUUUCUUCCUUAAAAACUAGGUAUUAAAUCUUCCAGGGAAUUUACUACUAACCAAGAACUCCCUACAGCAGUUAUGCGGGUGCCACUGGGAAAAUUCUUCCCUCCACCAUUAGCAUACACAUUCUUUCCUUUCCCCUAUAACCUCUGGGUAAUAGCAGGUGUUCCUCAAAAGGGGAGGCUUGGAUUUCUGGGGCAGAGAAUAGGAAGAUCCUUCUUGGCCACCCUCCUCCACUUUUAAUUUGGGUGGGACAUAUUUAGGCACAGGAUGAGCAUGUAGGAUGAAUUGUAUUCUGCAUUUUAGUCAUCUUUAUAUUAUCUCUAGCCCCAAAUCCACUCCUCUCCUGAACUUCCCUAUGUUGUUAAAGAUAUAUAAUUGGAUCAAAACUUCUGUGUCAUCUUCAAUUUAUCAUUCUCCACUGCUAAUAAUUUGCCAAAUCUAAUCAUUUUUCCUACCAUAAUAUCGUUCAUUUGUUUCCUUAUCUCUACUCACAUAGCUACCAAUAUGGUUUAGUUCUUUUCUGCUGGGACCAUUACAGUAGCUUGCUAACUGAACUCCAUGCCAGUGGUUUCUCCUCUAUCCAAACCAUUCUUCACAUAGCUACAAAUGACUUUCCUAAAAGCAUAAAUCUGACCACAUCACUCCCCUACUCAGAAAGCUCCGGUGGCUUUCAA